UACGGAGGGGGCAAGCGUUGUUCGGAAUUAUUGGGCGUAAAGGGCGCGUAGGCGGCUAGAUGUGUCAGAGGUGAAAUCCCUCGGCUCAACUGAGGAACUGCCUUUGAAACUGUCUGGCUUGAGGCCGGGAGAGGGUAGCGGAAUUCCCAGUGUAGAGGUGAAAUGCGUAGAUAUUGGGAGGAACACCAGUGGCGAAGGCGGCUACCUGGACCGGUUCUGACGCUGAGGCGCGAAAGCGUGGGUAGCAAACAGG
rnacentral:rRNA from 1 species